GCCGCCUCCCGUUGCCCCCGCGGCCGCACAGGUGGCUGAUGCUCCUCUCGCCUGGGGGGCCGCUCCGCUGCCCGCAGAGCUCAAGAGCUAAAUUUGUCAAAAUAGAAGUUCAGGUAUAAAUCGGUAUCGGUUUUGUGGUAGAAGUGGUUAUACUGGGUCGGCCAUGAGGUCCUGCUGCUAUCCCGUAGCUUUAACCUUAGCUAACCGUGAGGUUUCCUCCGAGGAUGGCACAAGAAGUUGCCCAUAGGUGCAGGGAGACUUGAAUUCUGAGCUGAAAAAAGAGAAGAGUGAGUGAAUGAAAUUCCAGGAGGGAUUCAGAUGUAAAGUUGCAGGACAUAAUCUAUAAACAUUAAGUUGUGACAGCUUGCCAGAACUUCUCCGCAAGGACCUACUGAUGGAGUUUUUCUAAAGAGACUUCAUAAAAGCAGCAAACGGUGGGACCCUACAGUUGCCAGCUGCAGCAGUUGUUUCUCCAGUUUUCCCAAUAAGAUUUGUUGAAACUCUCUGUAUCACAAUGUCUUUAUUGGUAAUGGAUCCCUCCUUAAUUUGCACUAAUGCAUUUGGAAUGUCAGCUUCCAAAACAAGGCACAUGGGAGGCAUUUAAAGU